UCACGUUUCAAAAGGCGUCUAGUUCUUUCUCUUCAUAUUGAGGUAAAAGUUCUCGGAUUCUUGCUGCUGCUGCUGCUUAAUUUGAUAUGUUCCAAGCCCAGUGAAACUGGGUCAUUUAUCCGGCCUUCUCUAAUCAG
ensembl:ncRNA T01B6.7 ncRNA